UCAUAAAUGUAUCUUGGCCUGUUUUUGCUUCCUCGUUGGCCUUUGAUAUCUAAUGCCAGCACCAUAUUCAUCUUGAUUUGCCUUUCAUGGACCACUGACUUUAGCUUUAUCAGCCUGUGCUGGCAUGGCAAAUGCAAAGGCAGAUGGUGGGCAAUUAGCAGAUGGCAGAGCAGGCAAGCCAGGUGAUUUUGGAUUACCCCAGCCCUUUGACAGAAUAGAAGUUGCAGAACCAUCUAUUCCUAUCUUUUGGAUUUUGGGAGCUGCGAGGAGGCCUGAUGGGCUCUUCAAGUUAUCAUCUGACAAGCUCUCUUCGUCAUCUUCAGAUUCCUCUUCUCCCUCCUUGUCAUCUUCUGGAGUUCCUUCAUAAUCCAAAUUAAAGAAGAGAGAAACCGUGGUCCAACUGCAAUGCUGGAUUCAGAAACACAACCCAUUGAGAAGGGAAGAAGAACAAAUCUUUCUAUUCGAUCCCUCAUAUCUCCAAGCUAUGGAGAACUCAGAAAUGCAUGCACAAGCAGAAUGCCAAGUGAUGGGGGGGUGCCAAGCAGGGAAGAGAAAGGUGGAUGGUUGUUGAGGAAAUGAAAUAGAAGAGAUAAAUUUGGUGGUGUGUUAUACAGCUUCAGCCUUUGUCACUAAGUUAAAAUGAUACUACGUAUAGAAAGUCAAUAUCUACUUUGAGUUGUAUGAAAAUGACAAGGAACGUGGUGGAUAUUUCAUUAACAAGAAAAUGUUAGUUUGUGUAGUGAUGUAUACUAUAACACUCAAAAAACUUUUGUGACUGUUUUCUUCUGUAUUUAGCUAUCAAUGGUGGGCUCUUGCUGUCACCUGCCUCUCUUAGAAGAGAAGCGACCAAUUUUUCUUUGACACCAAAUAGUGCUGGUUUGACGAA